CAGUUCGAGAGCCUAAGAAAGAAAACCUAAGGUUUGCCUACCUUCAUCUUCUUCUCCUUCAUUUCUUAUUCAUUUUUUGUUCUGUUUAAACCAUUAGAUUCAGGAGAAGCUUUUGUACUUUGGGUCAAGAACGUUUUUCAUUAUAAUCACCGAUUCAGAACUCCACUCUUACCAACAGUUCGGGUACUCAACACCAUUAACAACGGCUCAAGAACCCGAUCUCUUGCUGAACUUGUCUACUAUAUUGUACAAGGGAGAUAUAUCGAUUUCUGUGGCCUUAUUAUUCGUCAGAUGAUAAGUGUAAGAUAGACUUCAAAGAAGACUACAAGAUUUCCUUGUCUCAUUUCAAGGAUUUGUGGUCAGUACAACAUUACUCCUUUCAGAACCAACCUUGGAGGACCAAAAUUCUUGACCAUGGCAAGCAUCAAAAAGAUGAUCAGAACUCCAGCGUCCUCAAAUUCUGAGACUAUGCGUCUUCAAAAACAGGUUGAAUGCUUGCAAUAGCAAGUGGAUUAUGCUUUGGAAGAUCAUCCAGAACUGGCUGAACCAUUUGAUGAAAUUUCUUAGGAUUAUAGCAACUUGGAUUAACUGGUUUUUCAUGUUUUUCAUGUGUUUAUGUUAUGUUCUCUUAUGAUGUUUCUGUUGAACUUCUUAUGUCGAACUUGUUAAAAUUAUUAUCGUGUAAUGGUUGUAAUAACUUUAAUGGUAUUUUAGCUUUGAAUGA